CGUCUAUAUACGUAUAGCAUAUCAAUAAGCGGAGGAAAAGAAACUAACAAGGAUUCCCUUAGUAACGGCGAGUGAAGCGGGAAGAGCUCAAAUUUGAAAUCUUCAAGGUUUUACCUUGACGAAUUGUAGUUUAAAGAAGUGUUUUCUGUUGGAAUUUUGGUAAAAGUUCUUUCGAAAAGGACAUCAUAGAGGGUGAGAAUCCCGUAUUUGGUCAUUCCUUCUAGCUUUGUGAUACACUUUCAAAGAGUCGGAUUGUUUGGGAAUGCAGUCCAAAAUGGGUGGUAAAUUUCAUCUAAAGCUAAAUAUUGGCGAGAGACCGAUAGCGAACAAGUACCGUGAGGGAAAGAUGAAAAGAACUUUGAAAAGAGAGUUAAACAGUACGUGAAAUUGUCAAAAGGGAAGCGUUUGACACCAGUGUUGUUUUUCCGAAAAUCAAUUACGAAAUGGCCUGAUUUUGUGUUGUAUUGACCUUAUCAGCUUUCUUCACUUUUUUCUUGUCUUUUUUAAUGCACUUUUCGUUUAACAAGUCAACAUCAAUUUCUUUUGUUGUAAAAGGGUCAUUGGAAGGUGGCUUUCUUUUCGGAGAAAGUGUUUAUAGCCUUUGGCCUCUGCAAUCGGAGAGAUUGAGGUCUGCAGCGUAGAUCCUUCGGGGUUAGAUACAUUUGUGCUAAGUUAUAGCCUUUCAUAGACAACUUGUUGACUAUGAUCAGUCAUGUAGCUUACUCGCUUAUGCUAUUUUACCUACGCUUAGGAUGUUGACUGAUAUGUAGUCGUA
rnacentral:rRNA from 1 species